AUGAUGGACUAUAGGACAGGACUGCUGCUUUUAACUGUCUGCUGGGCAGGUGUUGAUGGUCAGACUCAGGCAGAAUCUGAACCAGUGGUUAAAAGGCCUGGAGAAUCUCACAGAUUGACCUGUACAGCCUCUGGAUUCACAUUCAGUGACUACUAUAUGCACUGGAUCAGACAGGCUCCUGGAAAAAGACUGGAGUGGGUUGCCUGGAUUAGCACUGGUGGUAGCAGCAAACUCUACUCUCAGUCAGUCCAAGGCCGGUUUACCAUCUCCAGAGACAACAGCAGACAGCAGGUGUAUCUGCAGAUGAACAGUCUGAAGACUGAAGAUUCUGCUGUUUAUUAUUGUGCUCGAGACCCACAGUGACUGGAGUUGGUGGAGCAGCUGCACAAAAUCCUA